GCCCUUGUAGCUUACAACAAAGCAUGGCACUGAAGAUGCCAAGAUGGCCGUCACAACGCCCAAGGACA
rnacentral:tRNA from 1 species